rnacentral:rRNA from 1 species
UAGUCCACGCCCUAAACGAUGCUAACUCGAUAUUUGGAUCUUGAAUCUGAGUGUCUAAGCGAAAGCGAUAAGUUAGCCACCUGGGGAGUACGUUCGCAAGAAUGAAACUCAAAGGAAUUGACGGGGGCCCGCACAAGCGGUGGAGCAUGUGGUUUAAUUCGAUGAUACGCGAGGAACCUUACCAGGGCUUAAAUGUAGUGGGACAGGUCUGGAAACAGAUCCUUCUUCGGACUCGUUACAAGGUGCUGCAUGGUUGUCGUCAGCGCGUGCCGUGAGGUGUCAGGUUAAGUCCUAUAACGAGCGCAACCCCUGUUGUUAGUUGCCAGCGAGUAAUGUCGGGAACUCUAACAAGACUGCCGGUGCAAACCGCGAGGAAGGUGGGGAUGACGUCAAAUCAUCACGGCCCUUACGUCCUGGGCUACACACGUGCUACAAUGGUCGGUACAGAGAGCAGCCACUGCGCGAGCAGGAGCGAAUCUAUAAAACCGAUCACAGUUCGGAUCGG